rnacentral:rRNA from 1 species
UAGAGCUGGCUCAGGACGAACGCUGGCGGCGUGCCUAAUACAUGCAAGUCGAGCGAAUUUCAUUGAAAGCUUGCUUUCAAUGGAGUUAGCGGCGGACGGGUGAGUAACACGUAGGUAACCUGCCUCAAGACUGGGAUAACAUUCGGAAACGAAUGCUAAUACCGGAUACGCAAUUUCUCGCAUGAGGGAAUUGGGAAAGGCGGAGCAAUCUGCCACUUGUAGAUGGACCUGCGGCGCAUUAGCUAGUUGGUGGGGUAACGGCUCACCAAGGCGACGAUGCGUAGCCGACCUGAGAGGGUGAUCGGCCACACUGGGACUGAGACACGGCCCAGACUCCUACGGGAGGCAGCAGUAGGGAAUCUUCCGCAAUGGACGAAAGUCUGACGGAGCAACGCCGCGUGAGUGAUGAAGGUUUUCGGAUCGUAAAGCUCUGUUGCCAGGGAAGAACAACUAGGAGAGUAACUGCUCUUAGUGUGACGGUACCUGAGAAGAAAGCCCCGGCUAACUACGUGCCAGCAGCCGCGGUAAUACGUAGGGGGCAAGCGUUGUCCGGAAUUAUUGGGCGUAAAGCGCGCGCAGGCGGCUUUGUAAGUCUGGUGUUUAAGCUCGGGGCUCAACCCCGAUCGCAUCGGAAACUGCGAGGCUUGAGUACAGAAGAGGAAAGUGGAAUCCACGUGUAGCGGUAAAUGCGUAGAGAUGUGGAGGAACACCAGUGCGAAGGCGACUUUGGCUGUAACACGAGGCGGAAAGCG